CUGUAUUUUAUGCUUCGCGACUAUACAUGCCAAGUGCUCGACAAAUAUCCUCAAUCAAUUUCUCAAAAGUCCAAAUCACCGUACAUGGAAAUUGGAAAUAAGUUAAAAAUUGGAAUAGAUUAAGUUUAUCUAUCAAUUUUUAAGACAAAGGUUGUCACCGAAGAUGUGAAGAUCGAUCUCUUCGAAGACGAGGAUGAGUUCGAAAUCAAUGAAGAGUGUACAAAGGAGUUCUUGGAUUAUCUGUCAAUCUCUAUACUUCAAUUUGUAGGAAUUGUGGUGGUUUGGAUUUUCAAUUUCAUAAGUUUUGUUGUAUAAAUUGCAGAGUGUACAAAGGAG